CAUAGCAAUUCACACAUCAACCCUAUUGAAAAUCAGAUGAAGUGUAAGAACAAAACACAUACAUUGCAAAAACUAAUGAUCAAAUAUUUCAAAAACUUUAUCAAGACAUCAGGAAAAAAACCUGCAUCUCCCCUUAUAUACAUAAAUUCAGUAUGCCAUUUAAAUUAUAAUUAAAGUUUCAUCUAAACUAAUGGCAUAGCAUGUAGUGGG
rnacentral:misc_RNA from 1 species